rnacentral:tRNA from 1 species
CAGGAAAUAGUUUAUAUAAAAUUUUAAUUUUGGAGAUUAAGGAAGAAUUAUUUAAUUUUUUCCUGA